AUUGAACGCUGGCGGCAGGCCUAACACAUGCAAGUCGAACGGUAGCACAGAGAGCUUGCUCUCGGGUGACGAGUGGCGGACGGGUGAGUAAUGUCUGGGAAACUGCCCGAUGGAGGGGGAUAACUACUGGAAACGGUAGCUAAUACCGCAUAACGUCGCAAGACCAAAGUGGGGGACCUUCGGGCCUCACACCAUCGGAUGUGCCCAGAUGGGAUUAGCUAGUAGGUGGGGUAAUGGCUCACCUAGGCGACGAUCCCUAGCUGGUCUGAGAGGAUGACCAGCGACACUGGAACGGAGACACGGUCAAGACUCCUACGGGAGGCAGCAGUGGGGAAUAUUGCACAAUGGGCGCAAGCCUGAUGCAGCCAUGCCGCGUGUAUGAAGAAGGCCUUCGGGUUGUAAAGUACUUUCAGCGGGGAGGAAGGCGGUGGAGUUAAUAACUUCACCGAUUGACGUUACCCGCAGAAGAAGCACCGGCUAACUCCGUGCCAGCCGCCGCCGUAA
rnacentral:rRNA from 1 species